rnacentral:rRNA from 1 species
AACAGCUCAAAUUUGAAAUCUGACCCCCCCGGGGCCCGAGUUGUAAUUUGUAGAGGGUGCUUCGGGCGCGGCGCCGGUCUAAGUUUCUUGGAACAGAACGUCGCAGAGGGUGAGAAUCCCGUACGUGACCGGUGACCAAGCCCGUGUGAAGCCCCUUCGACGAGUCGAGUUGUUUGGGAAUGCAGCUCAAAAUGGGUGGUAAAUUCCAUCUAAAGCUAAAUAUUGGCCAGAGACCGAUAGCGGACAAGUAGAGUGAUCGAAAGAUGAAAAGCACUUUGGAAAGAGAGUUAAACAGUACGUGAAAUUGUUGAAAGGGAAGCGCUUGCGACCAGACCGGUCCGGGGGCGAUCAGCCGCGGCUCGUCCGCGGUGCACUCGCCUCCGAUCCGGCCAGCAUCGGUUCGGGCGGCGGGAUAAAAGUCCCGGGAAUGUAGCUUCCCUCGGGGAGUCUUAUAGCCCGGGUCGCAAUGCCGCCCGCCUGGACCGAGGACCGCGCUUCGGCUAGGAUGCUGGCGUAAUGGUCGCAAGCGACCCGUCUUGAAACACGGACCAAGGAGUCUAACAUCUAUGCGAGUGUUUGGGUGUCAAACCCAGGCGCGGAAUGAAAGUGAACGGAGGUGGGAACCCGUCAGACGGCGCACCAUCGACCGAUCCUGAUGUCUUCGGAUGGAUUUGAGUAUGAGCAUAGCUGUUGGGACCCGAAAGAUGGUGAACUAUGCCCGGAUAGGGUGAAGCCAGAGGAAACUCUGGUGGAGGCUCGCAGCGGUUCUGACGUGCAAAUCGAUCGUCAAAUCUAGGCAUAGGGGCGAAAGACCAAUCGAACCAUCUAG